GUGUCUAUUCACACGUGCAUAUAAUUGUUGCGACACCGGGAUUUCUGCUGUCUCCUGGAGGACUCACGCGAGUACCAAAGGAACACGCCGUUCCAUGUCCAGUUCUAUUCGACCUUUUGUGUCCCCCGGGCAUUCUGUACAGGGCGGAAGUGACCGACUAGACAUCCACCGUUGUUGCAGUAUGCUUCUGUCUUUCUACUGUAUGUAUUGACAUCUACGGCGAUGUGUUGGUUCGUGUUUUAAAAAAAGUUGGGUCAGGAGUCAGUGGCAUAUAAUGUCUCUCUUUUUGCGCGUCUUCCGGUCGUAAACGCCCGGAGACGCACGCCAUGCGUCCCCCCGAACGACAGAGGAAGUGGUUGUGUCUCUUACGGGUGCAUUUUUCCUUUUCUUGCUUGAGUCGUCGAUGGUGCAUGCGAUGGAAGUCUCGCUCUUUCUUAAACUGGUCAAAGUAUUCUCUGCCAUACGAAACAGCACGAGCAAGAAAGAAGCUUGGGAGCAGAGCGUGACUGAGAAAGAAAUGGAGUGGGAGAGGGCAAGAAGCUCCAGCAAUCGACGCUUUGCUGUCAAGCGCUCUACAGAACUCGAGCAGCUGGAGUGAAUCUUUCGUCUCGGAUGUUUGAGAGGAACGUUCUGGAGAACGAAGAGAAAUCCUGUGUUCGGAAGGUGCUGCUAUGGAGGGCGGCAGAUGAAUGGGCAGAAACUAAAAAAUUCUCCCUCCACAGCAAAUGACAACGCGAAGUCCAGUGCUCGGCAGGACUCAGAAAAUUCCUUACAAGGCCUUCGAUGCAAUCUCUCGCUGUCGGCGGAUUUCGUGCUCCAGAAGAACCACCUGCUCUUUCAAAUCUUGAUUUACCAGAAAGGCAUGUGGAACAGUCCACUGCUCCCUUUUCGCCACAGUCGCUGAGUCUCUGUCGCUCUUUUGGAGCUGAGCGUCAUACCUGAAGACAUUGGGUUGCUUUCAUAGUUCGUUUCUUCAUAGACGUCUUAAUGCACGUGCGCCGUAGAAAAGAGCGUCUCCUACUCGUGCCAAUAAUGUUUCACUAUUAGGACCAGGCUGAAAACGGUGACGCCAGAGUCAUAUGCGGGGAUCGGCCGCACUCCUACAGAACGCUCGACACUGAACCCACAGACUUGUUUGCCGUGGGUGAGCGACGUUGUUUCUGUGUCCUUUCCAAAUGCACGAGAUACUCUGGUCCUUCCAACAGGGUGAUAAAAGUGAUAAGUUCUCUACGGGGAAACGUGGCCAAACACGAGCAGGCGAAGCAGACAAAUUGGAUACUGCAAGGAAGUACUUAUUCAUAUAUAUGUAUAUGUUUCUACAUAUCCUAAUGUAGGGAGAGAGAACGAGCGAUACAGAGAGGCCGACGGGCAGGAUGAGACCCAGAACGAAAGCGGGGGAAAAGUGGAUAAAUGGAGAGAGUGGUGUAUCGAUCGCUUUUUGACUGGCGUGAUCGUCCUUCGUAUUCUUCGUGGACGAAUGCAGGCUCAAAGCACUUGUCCGCGUCUUGCCGAAGUUCAUAUCACUCUUCCAGGUACAGAUAAGAAGCAGAUAGAAAACCCCGUAAUGUGCUUGAUCAGAUGCAGUUAGAGAACCUACCACUCUGUUUGGAAGCAGGAGAGCGUCUUGUGCAUUUGGGAGGAUACGAGAAAAGACCGUAUAAAAUCUUCAAUUGCUUCGUGCUUCUCCGUCACUCGAGCGCUAGUGAUGGAAAUGUCCUCAUCGUUGUCGUCUGGGGAGACACAACCAGCAGCAAACCGAGCAUAUAGUAGGAUAUGCAACAGGUAAAUAUUAGACAUGCGCACCUCUAGAUACA
rnacentral:lncRNA from 1 species